GACGAACGCUGGCGGCGUGCUUAACACAUGCAAGUCGAACGGAAAGGCCCUGCUUUUGUGGGGUUCUCGAGUGGCGAACGGGUGAGUAACACGUGAGUAACCUGCCCUUGACUUUGGGAUAACUUCAGGAAACUGGGGCUAAUACCGGAUAGGAGCUCCUGCUGCAUGGUGGGGGUUGGAAAGUUUCGGCGGUUGGGGAUGGACUCGCGGCUUAUCAGCUUGUUGGUGGGGUAGUGGCUUACCAAGGCUUUGACGGGUAGCCGGCCUGGGAGGGUGGCCGGGCACAUUGGGACUGAGAUACGGACCAGAAUGCUACGGGAGGCAGCAGUGGGGAAUAUUGCACAAUGGGCGGGAGCGUGAUGCAGAAACGCCGGGUGCGGGAUGACGGCCUUCGGGUUGUAAACCGCUUUCGCCUGUGACGAAGCGUGAGUGACGGUAAUGGGUAAAGAAGCACCGGCUAACUACGUG
rnacentral:rRNA from 1 species